rnacentral:tRNA from 1 species
AAAUAAGAAGUAACAACUACAUCUAACUUCGACCUAGAUAAAGAGAAAAGAAUUCUCCUUAUUUA